UGGUUCUAGCAUNGAUGAAGAACGCAGCGAAAUACGAUAAGUAAUGUGAAUUGCAGAAUUCAGUGAAUCAUCGAAUCUUUGAACGCACAUUGCGCCCUUUGGUAUUCCGAGGGGCAUGCCUGUUCGAGCGUCAUUACAACCCUCAAGCUCAGCUUGGUAUUAAGCCCUGCUAAUAGCAGGCUGUAAAAUCAGUGGCGGAAGCUACCGGCUCCAAACGCAGUAAAACAUUUCGUUUUGGAUAACUGGUCGCGACCUGCUAAACCUGCUACUUUUUACAGGUUGACCUCGGAUCAGGUAGGGAUACCCGCUGA
rnacentral:misc_RNA from 1 species